AUAUAGCCCUAGGGUAGGGUCAUAGGUCUGACCAAUACGUCCUACCCAAGGGCACCUCAUUAUUAGUUUAAGGACUACAAGGGAAAUUCCUACUGGAUCGUGACAACAUCUAAUCCACUCGGUACGGAUCCACUCAGACAAGUACAUUCCAUCCACUCGGAUGACAGUCAACCACUUGGCCGUAUGACUCACUCGGUCAUGCAAAUACCAACAGUCGGCAAGACAUCUGUAGUGGGCUGACAUUAUGGC
rnacentral:lncRNA from 1 species